rnacentral:rRNA from 1 species
UAACGCGAAGAACCUUACCAAGGCUUGACAUGGACUGGAAAUACCUGGAAACAGGUGCCCCGCUUGCGGUCGGUUCACAGGUGGUGCAUGGUUGUCGUCAGCUCGUGUCGUGAGAUGUUGGGUUAAGUCCCGCAACGAGCGCAACCCUCGUUCUAUGUUGCCAGCGCGUUAUGGCGGGGACUCAUAGGAGACUGCCGGGGUCAACUCGGAGGAAGGUGGGGACGACGUCAAAUCAUCAUGCCCCUUAUGUCUUGGGCUUCACGCAUGCUACAAUGGCCGGUACAAAGGGUUGCGAUACUGUGAGGUGGAGCUAAUCCCAAAAAGCCGGUCUCAGUUCGGAUUGGGGUCUGCAACUCGACCCCAUGAAGUCGGAGUCGCUAGUAAUCGCAGAUCAGCAACGCUGCGGUGAAUACGUUCCCGGGUCUUGUACACACCGA